rnacentral:rRNA from 1 species
AUUGAACGCUGGCGGCAUGCCUUACACAUGCAAGUCGAACGGCAGCACGGGGCAACCUGGUGGCGAGUGGCGAACGGGUGAGUAAUGCAUCGGAACGUACCUUUCAGUGGGGGAUAACGUAGCGAAAGUUACGCUAAUACCGAAUAUUCUGUGAGCAGGAAAGCAGGGGAUCGCAAGACCUUUCGCUGAUUGAGCGGCCGAUGUCAGAUUAGCUAGUUGGUGAGGUAAAGGCUCACCAAGGCGACGAUCUGUAGCGGGUCUGAGAGGAUGAUCCGCCACACUGGAACUGAGACACGGUCCAGACUCCUACGGGAGGCAGCAGUGGGGAAUUUUGGACAAUGGGGGCAACCCUGAUCCAGCCAUGCCGCGUGAGUGAAGAAGGCCUUCGGGUUGUAAAGCUCUUUCAGCCGGGAAGAAAUCGCACGGGCUAAUACCCUGUGUGGAUGACGGUACCGGAAUAAGAAGCACCGGCUAACUACGUGCCAGCAGCCGCCGUAAUAC